rnacentral:rRNA from 1 species
UACGUAGGUGGCAAGCGUUGUCCGGAAUUACUGGGCGUAAAGCGUGCGCAGGCGGUUGUGCAAGACAGAUGUGAAAUCCCCGGGCUUAACCUGGGAACUGCAUUUGUGACUGCACGGCUAGAGUGCGGCAGAGGGGGAUGGAAUUCCGCGUGUAGCAGUGAAAUGCGUAGAUAUGCGGAGGAACACCGAUGGCGAAGGCAAUCCCCUGGGCCUGCACUGACGCUCAUGCACGAAAGCGUGGGGAGCAAACAGG